AAUUAUCAACCAUCUCUUGAUCAAUUUCAAGAUCUUGGCUUGGAGUUGGGACUUGCUGGCAUGCUGGGACAAUCCCUAGUCAGCUCUCCUAAAAUUCAUUAGCGAUGGCUUGCUAGUCUUUUGAUGUGCACGCCCUUUCGACGUGAUAACGAUCUCGUCGUGGCUGGAGCAUCUUAUUUAGACCAUGCAUAAAUGGCCCAUGGCUUAUAAUAUUUGAAUUCACUCGUCUUGAAAGUCUACCAAGCUUUAGUUACUAGUCGGUCUACAAGGUCUGGCGAACACAAAGCAAGGUUUUUCUUGACUUGUAUAUUUACCUUUUGGAAGC
rnacentral:misc_RNA from 1 species